GACGAACGCUGGCGGCGUGCUUAACACAUGCAAGUCGAACGGAAAGGCCCUGCUUUUGUGGGGUGCUCGAGUGGCGAACGGGUGAGUAACACGUGAGUAACCUGCCCUUGACUUUGGGAUAACUUCAGGAAACUGGGGCUAAUACCGGAUAGGAUCUCCUGCUGCAUGGUGGGGGUUGGAAAGUUUCGGCGGUUGGGGAUGGACUCGCGGCUUAUCAGCUUGUUGGUGGGGGAGUGGCUUACCAAGGCUUUGACGGGUAGCCGGCAUGAGAGGGUGACCGGCCACAUUGGGACUGAGAUACGGCCCAGACUCCAACGGGAGGCAGCAGUGGGGAAUAUUGCACAAUGGGCGGAAGCCGGAUGCAGCAACGCCGCGUGCGGGAUGACGGCCUUCGGGUUGUAAACCGCUUUCGCCUGUGACGAAGCGUGAGUGACGGUAAUGGGUAAAGAAGCACCGGCUAACUACGUG
rnacentral:rRNA from 1 species